UACGGGAGGCAGCAGUGAGGAAUAUUGGUCAAUGGACGCAAGUCUGAACCAGCCACGUCGCGUGAAGGAAGACGGGCCUACGGGUUGUAACUUCUUUGUAAGGGAAUAAAGUGGCCACGUGGGCUUAUGGCAUACCUCGAAUA
rnacentral:rRNA from 1 species